GUUAUUAGUAUUGUUGAGCUGUGGCGGGUUAUUAGUAUUGUUGAGCUGUGGUGGGUUAUUAGUGUUGUUGAGCUGUGGCGGGUUAUUAGUAUUGUUGAGCUGUGGCGGGUUAUUAGUGUUAUUGAGCUGUGGCGGGUUAUUAGUGUUGUUGAGCUGUGGCGGGUUAUUAGCGUUGUUGAGCUGUGGUGUGUUGUUGAGCUGUUAUUAGCAUUGUUGAGCGGUGGUGGGUUAUUAGUGUUAUUGAGCUGUUAUUAGCGUUGUUGAGCUGUGGUGUGUUAUUAGUGGCGUUGAGCUGUUAUUAGUGUUGUUGAGCUAUGGUGGGUUAUUAGUGUUGUUGAGCUGUGGUGGGUCAUUAGUGUUGUUGAGGUGUUAUUAGUGCUGUUGAGGUGUUAUUAGUGUUGUUGAGCUGUGGUGGGUUAUUAGUGUUGUUGAGCGGUGGUGGGUUAUUAGUGUUAUUGAGCUGUUAUUAGCGUUGUUGAGGUGUUAUUAGUGUUGUUGAGCUGUUAUUAGUGUUGUUGAGGUGUUAUUAGUGUUGUUGAGCUGUUAUUAGUGUUGUUGAGGUGUUAUUAGUGUUGUUGAGCUGUGGUGGGUUAUUAGUGUUGUUGAGCUGUGGUGGGU
ensembl:lncRNA